UGGGGAAUUUUGGACAAUGGGCGAAAGCCUGAUCCAGCAAUGCCGCGUGUGUGAAGAAGGCCUUCGGGUUGUAAAGCACUUUUGUCCGGAAAGAAAUCCUUGGCUCUAAUACAGUCGGGGGAUGACGGUACCGGAAGAAUAAGCACCGGCUAACUACGUGCCAGCAGCCGCGGUAAUACGUAGGGUGCAAGCGUUAAUCGGAAUCACUGGGCGUAAAGCGUGCGCAGGCGGUUUGCUAAGACCGAUGUGAAAUCCCGGCGUCACUAGGACUGGAUGUGAUGCUGGCAGGCUAGAGUAUGGCAGAGGGGGGUAGAAUUCCACGUGUAGCAGUGAAAUGCGUAGAGAUGUGGAGGAAUACCGAUGGCGAAGGCAGCCCCCUGGGCCAAUACUGACGCUCAUGCACGAAAGCGUGGGGAGCAAAACAGGAUUAGAUACCCUGGUAGUCCACGCCCUAAACGAUGUCAACUAGUUGUUGGGGAUUCAUUUCCUUAGUAACGUAGCUAACGCGUGAAGUUGACCGCCUGGGGAGUACGGUCGCAAGAUUAAAACUCAAAUGAAUUG
rnacentral:rRNA from 1 species